rnacentral:rRNA from 1 species
AUGUUUUUGUCGCAGUCACUCAGCCGCGUCAACAACAUCCGUACAGCGCUGAUCAACGCGCAGAAGGGCAACCAAUCGGUGGCCACCUACUUCGCCGCCAUGAGGGGCCUCGCCGAUGAGCUCUCCGCGGCGGGCAAACCCAUCCAGGACGAUGAACUCAUGUCCUACAUCAUCCAUGGGCUAGACCAGGACUACCAGCCCCUUGUCUCUGCCUUGGACGCCCGCGCCACUCCGGUAACACUUGAUGAACUCUUUUCCAUGCUCAGUAAUUUUGAUCAACGCAUGGCGCAGUACAACGGCUCCGGCGGCGGCUUCAAGUCGUCGGCAAACUCCGUCUCCAGAGGCCGCGGCGGAUCUGGCGGCAGUGGCAGCUACUCCAACAACGCUCGUGGCGGCAGGCACUCCGGCAACUCAAAAGGGCGUCGUGGCGGCGGCUCCAACAGAUCCCGUCCGGACUUACCUCGCUGCCAAAUUUGUGGCAAGCCUGGUCACACAGCGAAGGAUUGUUGGGACCGCUAUGAAGAGGAUGAUGGUGACUCCUCACAAGAUGAAGAAAAGGUGGCU